CCCCUCUCAGGGUCACACCUGUAGAGUUUCCAAUACUUUACCAGUCUUGGCUACCGGAGGAAGAAUCAAGCAGACCCAUUCCAUUCCUAGCUUGGGCAGUGGCUAGUGAGUGGAAGGCAAUCUGCUACAAAU